GCAAUGGACAGCUAGGGUUCCGGUUCGCUGUUGCGGAUGUCUGGUCCGAGAGCAGUCGACCUCGCAAGAGGUUACACGGCGGGAGAAAAGCCCGGGAGAU
rnacentral:sRNA from 2 species